GAUGAACGCUGGCGGCGUGCCUAACACAUGCAAGUCGAACGAUGAAACCGCCCUCGGGCGGACAUGAAGUGGCGAACGGGUGAGUAACACGUGACCGACCUGCCCCCCGCCCAGGGACAGCCCCCCGAAAGGGGGAUUAAUACCUGGUACUCCGGAAGCGGCGCAUGCCGCGGCCGGGAAAGCUCUCGCGGCGGGGGAUGGGGUCGCGGCCCAUCAGGUAGACGGCGGGGCAGAGGCCCACCGUGCCGACGACGGGUAGCCGGGUUGAGAGACCGACCGGCCACAUUGGGACUGAGAUACGGCCCAGACUCCUACGGGAGGCAGCAGUGGGGAAUUUUGCGCAAUGGGGGCAACCCUGACGCAGCAACGCCGCGUGCGGGACGAAGGCGUCCGCGUCGUAAACCGCUUUCAGCGGGGAACACCUAAACGAGGGUACCCGCAGAAGAAGCCCCGGCUAA
rnacentral:rRNA from 1 species